rnacentral:sRNA from 1 species
UUACAACCGCUCAUCAUAAGGUAUUAAGUAUGAUAUUCAUCACCUUAUUUGGCGAGUCUUAAAA